rnacentral:tRNA from 1 species
GCUCCCUUAGCUCAGUAGGAUAGAGCAAUGGAUUUCUAAUCCAUGGGUCACAGGUUCGAAUCCUGUAGGGAGUA